CUCACAGCAGGAAGCAGAGACACUUAGAGGGGCUGCCCCAUGGUCAAUGCCACGGCCCUGGGGAUUUUCUCCUCAAGAGCUGUGAGUCGCUGUGGCAACCACAUUUCCCAAAGCUCCUCUCAAGGCAGAGAGACUAUUUUAGGAACUUACCCUGAACUCUCUGGAAUAAUGGUCACCUACUUCUGGGAGAUGGUGAUGCUAAUUCUAUUUUAUGCGGGACAACACAGAGGCAGUGAAAAGGUACCCAAAAUCUCAAAGAAGUGGGAGCAAAAGAUUUAAAUUGAACAUCAGCAAUGAAGAAAAGCUUAAAUUCAGACCAGGAACAAAUGUAUAUAGGCCUGAAUGUGCUGUAAUCCUUGGAGAACAAUGGAAAUUAUCCUGGAUUUUAAAAAGUAUAUGAAUGAACAAUGAUCAAGAAGGG
rnacentral:lncRNA from 1 species